GGCAGCCAGGAGAGCAUCAAUCUACUGAAGCACCCCUGUGCAGCCAUGCUCUGGACCUAACCACUCUUCUUCCUCACUGUCUUUUGUAUAGGGGUCUCUCCAGAUAUAAUUUUGGAACCAGACACCAAAACUCUGACUGUUCAGGUUGGGAAGCCUACCACCUCCUGCUGCAGAGUAACAGGAGGGGACUUGAAGAACUACUGAAUGAGCUGGUAUAGGAAGAAUGAAGAUAACUGCCUAAUCCUAGUAUACAAACCAAACAAUUCUACUGACAAGGUGUUGAAUGUUUUACAUCUUGUCAUAGCUACAGAGGAGUCCUGAGGAACCAUGGAGGUCAGCAUAGAGGGCAAUGUCCCUCUCCCAUGUCUCAGAGUCAGCUGACUAUGGACUGAAACCUCUACAAAUUGUUGUCUCUUCGUUCUGUUGGUGGUUUCUCUUGCAGUGCAGAAGCUUUUUAAUAAGAUAAGAUCCCAGUUGUUGAUUCUUUGUGCAAGUUCACAUGCUACUGAGGAUUUGUUCAUAAAGUCUUUUCCUAUACCAAUGUCUUCAAAAGUUCUACCUAACUCACAAAGGACUCAACUUUACAGAAACCAGUUUUAUGGGCUCUUCCUUUCUGGUCACCAGCAAAUUUUUUCAAAUAUUCAACUUUGCUUUUUGUUCC
ensembl:lncRNA